CUUAAAAUGAUGUUUGAAUUUCUUCACCUGAACAAGCUGAUGUUUUUAAAAUGAGCUUUUUAACACUGACCAGA